UAGAAGCCGAUGAAGGACGUUACUAACGACGAUAUGCUUUGGGGAGCUGUAAGUAAGCUUUGAUCCAGAGAUUUCCGAAUGGGGAAACCCAGCAUGAGUUAUGUCAUGUUAUCGAUAUGUGAAUACAUAGCAUAUCAGAAGGCACACCCGGAGAACUGAAACAUCUUAGUACCCGGAGGAAGAGAAAGAAAAUUCGAUUCCCUUAGUAGCGGCGAGCGAAACGGGAAGAGCCCAAACCAACAAGCUUGCUUGUUGGGGUUGUAGGACACUCUAUACGGAGUUACAAAGGACGACAUUAGACGAAUCAUCUGGAAAGAUGAAUCAAAGAAGGUAAUAAUCCUGUAGUCGAAAAUGUUGUCUCUCUUGAGUGGAUCCUGAGUACGACGGAGCACGUGAAAUUCCGUCGGAAUCUGGGAGGACCAUCUCCUAAGGCUAAAUACUCUCUAGUGACCGAUAGUGAACCAGUACCGUGAGGGAAAGGUGAAAAGCACCCCGGAAGGGGAGUGAAAUAGAACCUGAAACCGUGUGCUUACAAGUAGUCAGAGCCCGUUAAUGGGUGAUGGCGUGCCUUUUGUAGAAUGAACCGGCGAGUUACGAUUUGAUGCAAGGUUAAGCAGUAAAUGUGGAGCCGUAGCGAAAGCGAGUCUGAAUAGGGCGUUUAGUAUUUGGUCGUAGACCCGAAACCAGGUGAUCUACCCUUGGUCAGGUUGAAGUUCAGGUAACACUGAAUGGAGGACCGAACCGACUUACGUUGAAAAGUGAGCGGAUGAACUGAGGGUAGCGGAGAAAUUCCAAUCGAACCUGGAGAUAGCUGGUUCUCUCCGAAAUAGCUUUAGGGCUAGCCUCAAGUGAUGAUUAUUGGAGGUAGAGCACUGUUUGGACGAGGGGCCCCUCUCGGGUUACCGAAUUCAGACAAACUCCGAAUGCCAAUUAAUUUAACUUGGGAGUCAGAACAUGGGUGAUAAGGUCCGUGUUCGAAAGGGAAACAGCCCAGACCACCAGCUAAGGUCCCAAAAUAUAUGUUAAGUGGAAAAGGAUGUGGCGUUGCCCAGACAACUAGGAUGUUGGCUUAGAAGCAGCCAUCAUUUAAAGAGUGCGUAAUAGCUCACUAGUCGAGUGACACUGCGCCGAAAAUGUACCGGGGCUAAACAUAUUACCGAAGCUGUGGAUUGUCCUUUGGACAAUGGUAGGAGAGCGUUCUAAGGGCGUUGAAGCAUGAUCGUAAGGACAUGUGGAGCGCUUAGAAGUGAGAAUGCCGGUGUGAGUAGCGAAAGACGGGUGAGAAUCCCGUCCACCGAUUGACUAAGGUUUCCAGAGGAAGGCUCGUCCGCUCUGGGUUAGUCGGGUCCUAAGCUGAGGCCGACAGGCGUAGGCGAUGGAUAACAGGUUGAUAUUCCUGUACCACCUAUAAUCGUUUUAAUCGAUGGGGGGACGCAGUAGGAUAGGCGAAGCGUGCGAUUGGAUUGCACGUCUAAGCAGUAAGGCUGAGUAUUAGGCAAAUCCGGUACUCGUUAAGGCUGAGCUGUGAUGGGGAGAAGACAUUGUGUCUUCGAGUCGUUGAUUUCACACUGCCGAGAAAAGCCUCUAGAUAGAAAAUAGGUGCCCGUACCGCAAACCGACACAGGUAGUCAAGAUGAGAAUUCUAAGGUGAGCGAGCGAACUCUCGUUAAGGAACUCGGCAAAAUGACCCCGUAACUUCGGGAGAAGGGGUGCUCUUUAGGGUUAACGCCCAGAAGAGCCGCAGUGAAUAGGCCCAAGCGACUGUUUAUCAAAAACACAGGUCUCUGCUAAACCGUAAGGUGAUGUAUAGGGGCUGACGCCUGCCCGGUGCUGGAAGGUUAAGAGGAGUGGUUAGCUUCUGCGAAGCUACGAAUCGAAGCCCCAGUAAACGGCGGCCGUAACUAUAACGGUCCUAAGGUAGCGAAAUUCCUUGUCGGGUAAGUUCCGACCCGCACGAAAGGCGUAACGAUUUGGGCACUGUCUCAACGAGAGACUCGGUGAAAUCAUAGUACCUGUGAAGAUGCAGGUUACCCGCGACAGGACGGAAAGACCCCGUGGAGCUUUACUGUAGCCUGAUAUUGAAAUUCGGCACAGCUUGUACAGGAUAGGUAGGAGCCUUUGAAACGUGAGCGCUAGCUUACGUGGAGGCGCUGGUGGGAUACUACCCUAGCUGUGUUGGCUUUCUAACCCGCACCACUUAUCGUGGUGGGAGACAGUGUCAGGCGGGCAGUUUGACUGGGGCGGUCGCCUCCUAAAAGGUAACGGAGGCGCUCAAAGGUUCCCUCAGAAUGGUUGGAAAUCAUUCAUAGAGUGUAAAGGCAUAAGGGAGCUUGACUGCGAGACCUACAAGUCGAGCAGGGUCGAAAGACGGACUUAGUGAUCCGGUGGUUCCGCAUGGAAGGGCCAUCGCUCAACGGAUAAAAGCUACCCCGGGGAUAACAGGCUUAUCUCCCCCAAGAGUUCACAUCGACGGGGAGGUUUGGCACCUCGAUGUCGGCUCAUCGCAUCCUGGGGCUGUAGUCGGUCCCAAGGGUUGGGCUGUUCGCCCAUUAAAGCGGUACGCGAGCUGGGUUCAGAACGUCGUGAGACAGUUCGGUCCCUAUCCGUCGUGGGCGUAGGAAAUUUGAGAGGAGCUGUCCUUAGUACGAGAGGACCGGGAUGGACAUACCUCUGGUGUACCAGUUGUCGUGCCAACGGCAUAGCUGGGUAGCUAUGUGUGGACGGGAUAAGUGCUGAAAGCAUCUAAGCAUGAAGCCCCCCUCAAGAUGAGAUUUCCCAACUUCGGUUAUAAGAUCCCUCAAAGAUGAUGAGGUUAAUAGGUUCGAGGUGGAAGCAUGGUGACAUGUGGAGCUGACGAAUACUAAUCGAUCGAAGACUUAAUCAA
rnacentral:rRNA from 1 species